AAAUUGAAGAGUUUGAUCAUGGCUCAGAUUGAACGCUGGCGGCAGGCCUAACACAUGCAAGUCGAACGGUAACAGGAAGCAGCUUGCUGCUUUGCUGACGAGUGGCGGACGGGUGAGUAAUGUCUGGGAAACUGCCUGAUGGAGGGGGAUAACUACUGGAAACGGUAGCUAAUACCGCAUAAUGUCGCAAGACCAAAGAGGGGGACCUUCGGGCCUCUUGCCAUCGGAUGUGCCCAGAUGGGAUUAGCUGGUAGGUGGGGUAACGGCUCACCUAGGCGACGAUCCCUAGCUGGUCUGAGAGGAUGACCAGCCACACUGGAACUGAGACACGGUCCAGACUCCUACGGGAGGCAGCAGUGGGGAAUAUUGCACAAUGGGCGCAAGCCUGAUGCAGCCAUGCCGCGUGUAUGAAGAAGGCCUUCGGGUUGUAAAGUACUUUCAGCGGGGAGGAAGGGAGUAAAGUUAAUACCUUUGCUCAUUGACGUUACCCGCAGAAGAAGCACCGGCUAACUCCGUGCCAGCAGCCGCGGUAAUACGGAGGGUGCAAGCGUUAAUCGGAAUUACUGGGCGUAAAGCGCACGCAGGCGGUUUGUUAAGUCAGAUGUGAAAUCCCCGGGCUCAACCUGGGAACUGCAUCUGAUACUGGCAAGCUUGAGUCUCGUAGAGGGGGGUAGAAUUCCAGGUGUAGCGGUGAAAUGCGUAGAGAUCUGGAGGAAUACCGGUGGCGAAGGCGGCCCCCUGGACGAAGACUGACGCUCAGGUGCGAAAGCGUGGGGAGCAAACAGGAUUAGAUACCCUGGUAGUCCACGCCGUAAACGAUGUCGACUUGGAGGUUGUGCCCUUGAGGCGUGGCUUCCGGAGCUAACGCGUUAAGUCGACCGCCUGGGGAGUACGGCCGCAAGGUUAAAACUCAAAUGAAUUGACGGGGGCCCGCACAAGCGGUGGAGCAUGUGGUUUAAUUCGAUGCAACGCGAAGAACCUUACCUGGUCUUGACAUCCACGGAAGUUUUCAGAGAUGAGAAUGUGCCUUCGGGAACCGUGAGACAGGUGCUGCAUGGCUGUCGUCAGCUCGUGUUGUGAAAUGUUGGGUUAAGUCCCGCAACGAGCGCAACCCUUAUCCUUUGUUGCCAGCGGUCCGGCCGGGAACUCAAAGGAGACUGCCAGUGAUAAACUGGAGGAAGGUGGGGAUGACGUCAAGUCAUCAUGGCCCUUACGACCAGGGCUACACACGUGCUACAAUGGCGCAUACAAAGAGAAGCGACCUCGCGAGAGCAAGCGGACCUCAUAAAGUGCGUCGUAGUCCGGAUUGGAGUCUGCAACUCGACUCCAUGAAGUCGGAAUCGCUAGUAAUCGUGGAUCAGAAUGCCACGGUGAAUACGUUCCCGGGCCUUGUACACACCGCCCGUCACACCAUGGGAGUGGGUUGCAAAAGAAGUAGGUAGCUUAACCUUCGGGAGGGCGCUUACCACUUUGUGAUUCAUGACUGGGGUGAAGUCGUAACAAGGUAACCGUAGGGGAACCUGCGGUUGGAUCACCUCCUUA
rnacentral:rRNA from 1 species